GUAGGUGGCAAGCGUUGUCCGGAACUAUUGGGCGUAAAGCGCGCGCAGGCGGUUCUUUAAGUCUGAUGUGAAAGCCCACGGCUCAACCGUGGAGGGUCAUUGGAAACUGGAGAACUUGAGUACAGAAGAGGAAAGCGGAAUUCCACGUGUAGCGGUGAAAUGCGUAGAGAUGUGGAGGAACACCAGUGGCGAAGGCGGCUUUCUGGUCUGUAACUGACGCUGAGGCGCGAAAGCGUGGGGAGCAAACAGGAUUAGAUACCCUGGUAGUCCACGCCGUAAACGAUGAGUGCUAAGUGUUAGGGGGUUUUCCGCCCCCCUUAGUGCUGCAGCUAACGCAUUAAGCACUCCGCCUGGGAGUACGGCCGCAAGGCUG
rnacentral:rRNA from 1 species